rnacentral:rRNA from 1 species
UGGGGAAUCUUAGACAAUGGGCGCAAGCCUGAUCUAGCGAUGCCGCGUGAGUGACGAAGGCCCUAGGGUCGUAAAGCUCUUUCGCCAGGGAUGAUAAUGACAGUACCUGGUAAAGAAACCCCGGCUAACUCCGUGCCAGCAGCCGCGGUAAUACGGAGGGGGUUAGCGUUGUUCGGAAUUACUGGGCGUAAAGCGUCUGCAGGUGGCUAUGCAAGUCUGCUGUUAAAGAGUGGAGCUCAACUCCAUAAGGGCAGUGGAAACUGCGUAACUAGAGUACGUUCGGGGUAGAGGGAAUUCCUGGUGUAGCGGUGAAAUGCGUAGAUAUCAGGAAGAACACCGGUGGCGAAAGCGCCCUACUAGGCCGUAACUGACACUGAGAGACGAAAGCUAAGGGAGCGAAUGGGAUUAGAUACCCCCGUAGUCC